UACGAAGGGGGCUAGCGUUGCUCGGAAUCACUGGGCGUAAAGGGUGCGUAGGCGGGUCUUUAAGUCAGGGGUGAAAUCCUGGAGCUCAACUCCAGAACUGCCUUUGAUACUGAGGAUCUUGAGUUCGGGAGAGGUGAGUGGAACUGCGAGUGUAGAGGUGAAAUUCGUAGAUAUUCGCAAGAACACCAGUGGCGAAGGCGGCUCACUGGCCCGUCACUGACGCUGAGGC
rnacentral:rRNA from 1 species